GACAGAGGGUGCAAACGUUGCUCGGAAUCACUGGGCGUAAAGGGCGUGUAGGCGGGAAGGAAAGUCAGAUGUGAAAUCCCUGGGCUCAACCCAGGAACUGCAUUUGAAACUCCCUUUCUUGAGUGUCGGAGAGGAAAGCGGAAUUCCUGGUGUAGAGGUGAAAUUCGUAGAUAUUCGGAGGAACACCAGUGGCGAAGGCGGCUCACUGGUCCGGUACUGACGCUGAGGUGCGAAAGCGUGGGGAGCAAACAGG
rnacentral:rRNA from 1 species